rnacentral:tRNA from 1 species
GGGCCCUUAGCUCAGUUUGGCUAGAGCGCCAGUUUUGCACACUGGAGGCCGUGGGUUCGAAUCCCACAGGGUCCA